AUAAGCCAGCUUGACUGCGAGCGUGACGGCGCGAGCAGGUGCGAAAGCAGGUCAUAGUGAUCCGGUGGUUCUGAAUGGAAGGGCCAUCGCUCAACGGAUAAAAGGUACUCCGGGGAUAACAGGCUGAUACCGCCCAAGAGUUCAUAUCGACGGCGGUGUUUGGCACCUCGAUGUCGGCUCAUCACAUCCUGGGGCUGAAGUAGGUCCCAAGGGUAUGGCUGUUCGCCAUUUAAAGUGGUACGCGAGCUGGGUUUAGAACGUCGUGAGACAGUUCGGUCCCUAUCUGCCGUGGGCGCUGGAGAACUGAGGGGGGCUGCUCCUAGUACGAGAGGACCGGAGUGGACGCAUCACUGGUGUUCGGGUUGUCAUGCCAAUGGCACUGCCCGGUAGCUAAAUGCGGAAGAGAUAAGUGCUGAAAGCAUCUAAGCACGAAACUUGCCCCGAGAUGAGUUCUCCCUGAGACUUAAAGUCUCCUGAAGGAACGUUGAAGACGACGACGUUGAUAGGCCGGGUGUGUAAGCGCAGCGAUGCGUUGAGCUAACCGGUACUAAUGAACCGUGAGGCUUAACCUU
rnacentral:rRNA from 1 species